CGCCUGUUUAUCAAAAACAUAGCCUUUAGCCAAACAAGUAUUAAAGGUAAUGCCUGCCCAGUGAAGCCACUUUCAACGGCCGCGGUACCCUAACCGUGCAAAGGUAGCGUAAUCAUUUGUCCACUAAUUAUGGACCUGUAUGAAAGGCCACAUGAGAAUCUAACUGUCUCUUGUAACUAAUUUAUAAAACUGAUCUUCCAGUCCAAAAGCUAGAAUAUUUAUAUAAGACGAGAAGACCCUGUGAAGCUUA
rnacentral:rRNA from 1 species